rnacentral:tRNA from 1 species
GGAGAGAUGGCCGAGUGGUCGAUGGCGGUGGUCUUGAAAACCACUGUGGGGGAAACUCCACCGGGGGUUCGAAUCCCUCUCUCUCCGCCA